rnacentral:rRNA from 1 species
GGUGGGUACUAGGUGUGGGUUUCCUUCCUUGGGAUCCGUGCCGUAGCUAACGCAUUAAGUACCCCGCCUGGGGAGUACGGCCGCAAGGCUAAAACUCAAAGAAAUUGACGGGGGCCCGCACAAGCGGCGGAGCAUGUGGAUUAAUUCGAUGCAACGCGAAGAACCUUACCUGGGUUUGACGUGCACAGGACGCCGGCAGAGAUGUCGGUUCCCUUGUGGCCUGUGUGCAGGUGGUGCAUGGCUGUCGUCAGCUCGUGUCGUGAGAUGUUGGGUUAAGUCCCGCAACGAGCGCAACCCUUGUCUCAUGUUGCCAGCGGGUAAUGCCGGGGACUCGUGAGAGACUGCCGGGGUCAACUCGGAGGAAGGUGGGGAUGACGUCAAGUCAUCAUGCCCCUUAUGUCCAGGGCUUCGCACAUGCUACAAUGGCCGGUACAAAGGGCUGCGAUGCCGCGAGGUUAAGCGAAUCCUUUUAAAGCCGGUCUCAGUUCGGAUCGGGGUCUGCAACUCGACCCCGUGAAGUCGGAGUCGCUAGUAAUCGCAGAUCAGCAACGCUGCGGUGAAUACGUUCCCGGGCUUGCACACACCGC